rnacentral:rRNA from 1 species
UUGGGCCCGACGUCGCAUGCUCCCGGCCGCCAUGGCGGCCGCGGGAAUUCGAUUAGAGUUUGAUCAUGGCUCAGAAUCAACGCUGGCGGCGCGCUUAACACAUGCAAGUCGCACGAGAAAGCAGUAGCAAUACUGUGAGUAAAGUGGCGUACGGGUGAGUAACACGUGGAUCAUCUACCUUCUAGUGGGGAAUACCCCCGGGAAACUGGGGACAAUACCGCAUAAGCUCGUAAGAGGAAAGCAGCAAUGCGCUGGAAGAGGAGUCCGCGGCUGAUUAGCUAGUUGGCGGGGUAAUGGCCCACCAAGGCGAAGAUCGGUAGCCGGCCUGAGAGGGCACACGGCCACACUGGCACUGAAACACGGGCCAGACUCCUACGGGAGGCAGCAGUGGGGAAUAUUGGACAAUGGGGGCAACCCUGAUCCAGCCAUGCCGCGUGAGUGAUGAAGGCCCUAGGGUUGUAAAGCUCUUUCGGCGGGGACGAUAAUGACGGUACCCGCAGAAGAAGCCCCGGCUAACUUCGUGCCAGCAGCCGCGGUAAUACGAAUCACUAGUGAAUUCGCGGCCGCCUGCAGGUCGACCAUAUGGGAGAGCUCCCAACGCGUUG